ACAGCAGUCGCCGCGGUAAUACGUAGGUGGCAAGCGUUGUCCGGAAUUAUUGGGCGUAAAGGGCUCGCAGGCGGUUUCUUAAGUCUGAUGUGAAAGCCCCCGGCUCAACCGGGGAGGGUCAUUGGAAACUGGGAAACUUGAGUGCAGAAGAGGAGAGUGGAAUUCCACGUGUAGCGGUGAAAUGCGUAGAGAUGUGGAGGAACACCAGUGGCGAAGGCGACUCUCUGGUCUGUAACUGACGCUGGGGAGCGAAAGCGUGGGGAGCGAACAGGAUUAGAUACCCCUGUAGUCCCUGUCUCUUAUAC
rnacentral:rRNA from 1 species